rnacentral:rRNA from 1 species
UGGGGAAUAUUGCACAAUGGGCGCAAGCCUGAUGCAGCCAUGCCGCGUGUGUGAAGAAGGCCUUCGGGUUGUAAAGCACUUUCAGCGAGGAGGAAGGUGGUGAACUUAAUACGUUCAUCAAUUGACGUUACUCGCAGAAGAAGCACCGGCUAACUCCGUGCCAGCAGCCGCGGUAAUACGGAGGGUGCAAGCGUUAAUCGGAAUUACUGGGCGUAAAGCGCACGCAGGCGGUUUGUUAAGUCAGAUGUGAAAUCCCCGGGCUCAACCUGGGAACUGCAUUUGAAACUGGCAAGCUAGAGUCUCGUAGAGGGGGGCUAGAAUUCCAGGUGUAGCGGUGAAAUGCGUAGAGAUCUGGAGGAAUACCGGUGGCGAAGGCGGCCCCCCUGGANGAAGACUGACGCUCAGGUGCGAAAGCGUGGGGAGCAAACAGAUUAGAUACCCUGGUAGUCACGCUGUAAACGAUGUCGAUUUU